rnacentral:lncRNA from 1 species
GGCGAGUGAAAAAUACCACACUUCCUUCUUUAACUCAUUUGCUUUUCAACUAUCACUUCAUAAUUCAUUUACCAGUACUUAUCUCUAUUGUUUCACCUCUUUCGAAUUUUAAAAGCAAUUACGACUCACGGUGAUGCUAGACUCGGGUGCAUAGGUAACCAUCACCAUACCUGUAUACCGACUCCACACAGCACAUAGCAAAUAUUG